UUUUUCCCAGAAUAUUCCCUUCGAAAUUUUUCUAAAAGGAAAUUGUCCCAUUUUUCAUUAGGCACCUACUUUUGUGAAAAUUACCUCAAUUUAACAACAAUAGUAUAUUACAAUGCAAGAAGCGACGUGAAGAAUGUUUGGUCUCGUGCAUGAAAAAUAUUUACCCUGAAGACACCAGUCUCACAAAAAUGAAUAAGGUAUCUGCUUUCGAACUUUCCAAUGUAACUUCUGUAUAACAGAGGUAGUUGGGCAAUACCCUUGGAAGUAUUUUUCAAACACUUGUUCAUUAUUGAAAUAAUAACGAAAGAUCUGGUGCCAUUUUGAGAAGUGUAACGAGCAUCUAAAGGUGUCACAAGAACUAACACUUAAGUAUCUGCUUAUAAAUACUCGAGCCAAGAAGAGUAUGAAAUUCAUUCCACUAUUGGUGAAAAAUUGCGCAAAACGUUCUUUCUUCACACACCACAAUGAUUUUGAAAACAAUCACAAUCGUUUUCAUCCUCUCGGUCUGCGUGCAGUGCGUAUUAUGUGCGGAUAAACCCGAAGCACAACGUAGACACAGACGACGAAUUGUUGUUCAACCUUCCUCAAAACGUACCCCGAGUACUUCCGAUCCUGACAUCAUGAAUAAAACCACAAUUUCUACGAAAUCAUCCCAAAAAGAAGGUGAAAAACCAGAAACCAUCAUAAAAGGAGAAAAAGGAGUGAUCGAAGUUGAUGGAAAAAUCGUCCAGGCGAAUGAUAAAGCAUUCAAAGAUGGUUCCAUAAGUGUACGCGUCGUUCAAGCCCGAAUUUACAUCAACAAUAAUUUAAUUUUUGAAGGAAACCCGACUGAGCCGGAUAGUUUCAUGAAAUCUACCUUCAGUUCUAGCGCCAGAAGUUUCAAAAUUGAGAUAUUUUCAGGUGGUCGACUCGUGUAUACUGAUAGCAGUGGCACCAUUUCUCGUGCCACUUUUUAAAUUGCGAAUAGGUAGGUACCAGAAAUAUGAUUUGAACAUGUGAAAAUUAAUAAAUGAGUAUUGAGUAUUA